rnacentral:rRNA from 1 species
GAUGAACGCUGGCGGCGUGCCUAAUACAUGCAAGUCGAGCGAACAGAUAAGGAGCUUGCUCCUUUGAAGUUAGCGGCGGACGGGUGAGUAACACGUGGGUAACCUACCUAUAAGACUGGGAUAACUUCGGGAAACCGGAGCUAAUACCGGAUAACAUUUAGAACCGCAUGGUUCUAAAGUGAAAGAUGGUUUUGCUAUCACUUAUAGAUGGACCCGCGCCGUAUUAGCUAGUUGGUAAGGUAACGGCUUACCAAGGCGACGAUACGUAGCCGACCUGAGAGGGUGAUCGGCCACACUGGAACUGAGACACGGUCCAGACUCCUACGGGAGGCAGCAGUAGGGAAUCUUCCGCAAUGGGCGAAAGCCUGACGGAGCAACGCCGCGUGAGUGAUGAAGGGUUUCGGCUCGUAAAACUCUGUUAUUAGGGAAGAACAAAUGUGUAAGUAACUGUGCACAUCUUGACGGUACCUAAUCAGAAAGCCACGGCUAACUACGUGCCAGCAGCCGCGGUAAUACGUAGGUGGCAAGCGUUAUCCGGAAUUAUUGGGCGUAAAGCGCGCGUAGGCGGUUUCUUAAGUCUGAUGUGAAAGCCCACGGCUCAACCGUGGAGGGUCAUUGGAAACUGGGAAACUUGAGUGCAGAAGAGGAAAGUGGAAUUCCAUGUGUAGCGGUGAAAUGCGCAGAGAUAUGGAGGAACACCAGUGGCGAAGGCGACUUUCUGGUCUGUAACUGACGCUGAUGUGCGAAAGCGUGGGGAUCAAACAGGAUUAGAUACCCUGGUAGUCCACGCCGUAAACGAUGAGUGCUAAGUGUUAGGGGGUUUCCGCCCCUUAGUGCUGCAGCUAACGCAUUAAGCACUCCGCCUGGGGAGUACGACCGCAAGGUUGAAACUCAAAGGAAUUGACGGGGGCCCGCACAAGCGGUGGAGCAUGUGGUUUAAUUCGAAGCAACGCGAAGAACCUUACCAGGUCUUGACAUCCUUUGACCACUCUAGAGAUAGAGCUUUCCCUUCGGGGACAAAGUGACAGGUGGUGCAUGGUUGUCGUCAGCUCGUGUCGUGAGAUGUUGGGUUAAGUCCCGCAACGAGCGCAACCCUUAUUGUUAGUUGCCAUCAUUUAGUUGGGCACUCUAGCGAGACUGCCGGUGACAGACCGGAGGAAGGUGGGGAUGACGUCAAAUCAUCAUGCCCCUUAUGACCUGGGCUACACACGUGCUACAAUGGGAAGUACAACGAGUCGCUAGACCGCGAGGUCAUGCAAAUCUCUUAAAGCUUCUCUCAGUUCGGAUUGCAGGCUGCAACUCGCCUGCAUGAAGCCGGAAUCGCUAGUAAUCGCGGAUCAGCACGCCGCGGUGAAUACGUUCCCGGGCCU